UACGGAGGAGGCAAGCGUUAUCCGGAAUUAUUGGGCGUAAAGCGUCCGUAGGUGGCUCUUCAAGUCUGCUGUCAAAGAGUGGGGCUUAACCCUGCAAAGGCAGUGGAAACUGAAAGGCUAGAGAUCCGUAGGGGUAGAGGGAAUUCCCGGUGUAGCGGUGAAAUGCGUAGAGAUCGGGAAGAACAUCGGUGGCGAAAGCGCUCUACUGGACGGUAUCUGACACUGAGGGACGAAAGCUAGGGGAGCGAAUGGGAUUAGAUACCCGGUAGUCC
rnacentral:rRNA from 1 species